UGACGGAAACUUAACGACAUGCCC
rnacentral:siRNA from 1 species